rnacentral:tRNA from 1 species
GAGCCAUUAGCUCAGCUUGGUUAGAGCGCUGCUCUUAUAAGGCAGAGGUCCCAGGUUCAAAUCCUGGAUGGCUCA